rnacentral:lncRNA from 1 species
GGGUGUUACAAAGACUGAAGUGGGAUACUCGCAGGGUUAUGUACAUAACCCGAGAUAUGAAGAUGUGUGUAGCGGUACUACUAAUCAUUCAGAGGUGGUUAGGGUUCAGUAUGAUCCUAAGGAAUGUAGCUAUGAUUCCCUGCUUGAUGUUUUCUGGUCUCGUCAUGACCCCACCACCCCCAAUCGACAGGUGGCUUUUCAAUUUUUCGGCUUCUUUUUUCAUGUAUAAUAUUUGGUUAUAUUUUUUUUUGCUGAGUUUAUUUGUGGAAUCAUAUGCUUAGUUUAAUUAAUUGGGAAAAUUUUAAUGAGUCCAUGUAAAAAAUGAACUUUUCUUUUUCUUUGAUGUAUUACCUGAGGCUUCUACUUUGAUUGUUUUCUAGAAUUGAAGUUGAAAUCUUCAUUGAGUGCGAGUUCCUCUUUAGUUUUUGUGGCUUUAGUCAGUGACUUCUUCUUAAACCUGCUGAUGCAUAAAACUAUUUGCCUAAUAAUAACCUUCUAGGACAUCUUGUAAGCCGUAUGGACAAUUUUGCAUAAAGAGAACAUGUUUGGAUUAAAAUUGUUCUUAAAGAAAUGUGUUUGAAUAGUUGUAGUUUUUCCAAGACUUUUUGAAUUGAAUAAGAAACUUUCAAUGAAAAAAGGGUGAAACUUACUGUCGAAAAAUGUGAUUUUUAUUUGAAAAACACCCUCAAACGACGUCAUAAACCGGUUUUUGCAAAAAGUUCUUCCAAAAAAUUGGACAAACACGUUUUUGCAAAAACAUUUUGCAAGAUUUCAAAAGAUGUUCUGUAAACAAAUGCCACCUAAUGUUUUGUUGAUAAUAUACUGAAGAUCAGGUCUUCAUUUGAUGGUAACGCCCGACGUCGUGCUUACUUCAGAAUGUUGCCAAGAAGAUUCAAGCUGCAAAAUGUCUAAGAAAUUUGACGUACUUUUAUAUAGACGAGAGUGGUCAUGUACCCAAUUAGCAUUUUACCCGCUAAAGCAAAUUUCACAGUGAACAUCAUCAGAAUUCUCUGUUUUCUUCUGCCUUGUGUUGAUCUUUAAAUAUGAAUCUUGCUUGUUUUGCUUCUACUGUGAUUGUUAUUCAUCUGGUUUUCUAGCACCAAGGAGGAGACAAUAGCGGAGUUCUAAUUAUGUUGGACCAAAAAGGCUUGACAACAUUUUACAUUUUAUUUAAGCGGUUGUGGAUAUAAUCUUACAAUGUGGAAAAAUGUCCCAAAUGCUAAAUAUGAGUGGAUAAUUGAAGCAAAAGAGGUUGUAAAGCCAAAUGGAUGCAGUAUAUGGAAACAUAUCAAGAAUUUGCGGCAAAAAUUCAAGAGUUAAUACUCAAUUCAACAGUGGUGAUGGGCAUAAAAUAAAAUGAUGGAUUCGAUUGGACGAGUAUAUUCUAAAUAGAGAGCUUUUGCUCGCUUGUAAAUAGUUUCUUCGACUCAACAUCCUCUAUGCUGGCCUGAGAUGAAAUUUAAUGGAGAUGGUUAGUGAGGGUUCAUAUAGCGGACCCCAACUUGUUUGGGACUGAGAUAUUGUUGUUUUUGUGACCAACAUUCUUUUGGUGCAAUUCAUAUCAAUAAAAUCACAUUAGCUUUUUCUAACAAAAUACUUUUUAAUUGACAUGUUCAAGGCAUAAAAUAUAAGCAGAAAGCUCAUUUCAUCUUCUGUGACGUGUGACCUUAAAUACAUCCAUCUUUGACAUUUGUUGAUUAGCAUUAGCUAUCUCUUAUUAGUCGAUCAUCAGUAUUAGAUAUUCUGUCUCUCUAGGUUUUAUUUUGCGGACUUCCCUCUCCUAGGUCCUUUAAACCGAGAUCACUCUACUAGUAUCAAUAUUGGGAUUCUUUCUUUAUCAAAAAGAAAACAUCAUCAGAAUCUUCCUCCUAGUUUCUUUUUACCUGAUUGCUAAAACAUGCAACAUUUUUUCCAUUGAACAUCAUUGGAAUCUUCCUCCUAGUUUCUUUUACCUGAUUGCUCAGACAUGCAACGUUUCUUCAUUGACUGUUUCCCUCAUCCCUUUUUUUGGGCACUAGUGCUCCUGCACUCUUAGUAACCUAUGUUUGUGUAAGUUUCCUAUGCUUUUUUUUUUCAUUUAACCCCAUAUUUUUGCAUGCUUCUGCUCCUAAUAGCCAAGCAAGGAGAUUUGUCACUGCAGACAUAGACAUGCUUUCUGCUCAGUUGCCAGGUCCAAAUUAUUGCCAGGGAAGUCCCUUUCUUGUGAAAUGAGAACUUCUGCGUAAUUGCAUCCAAGACUAAGAAAAAAACAUCUCUCAUCAUCUCUCUGGUUCUCUCACUACCAUUCAAUAGCUGUUGCAACCUUUCAUUACUGUCAAGUUUCAUCAUUAGACGUUUUGCUUAUAAUGAACUUUACAUUCUUAAGUAGAGUUAUUUGCUUGACAGGUCAGUGAUUUAUCCUUCUUUAAAAUGCAUCUAACAUGAUGCUUCUCUUGUUUGUAGGGGAAUGAUGUGGGCACUCAGUACAGGUCUGGAAUUUACUUCUACACACCCGAGCAAGAGAAGGCAGCUUUAGA